GCAUAGGUGGCGGAAUGGUAGACGCGCAAGGUUGAGGUCCUUGUGGGAGUUUAUCCUGUGAGAGUUCAAGUCUCUUCUUAUGCACCA
rnacentral:tRNA from 2 species